rnacentral:rRNA from 1 species
GAAACGACUGCUAAGACUGGAUAGGAGACAAGAAGGCAUCUUCUUGUUUUUAAAAGACCUAGCAAUAGGUAUGCUUAGGGAGGAGCUUGCGUCACAUUAGUUAGUUGGUGGGGUAAAGGCCUACCAAGACUAUGAUGUGUAGCCGGGCUGAGAGGUUGAACGGCCACAUUGGGACUGAGACACGGCCCAAACUCCUACGGGAGGCAGCAGUAGGGAAUUUUCGGCAAUGGAGGAAACUCUGACCGAGCAACGCCGCGUGAACGAUGAAGUAUUUCGGUACGUAAAGUUCUUUUAUUAGGGAAGAAUAAAUGAUGGAAAAAUCAUUCUGACGGUACCUAAUGAAUAAGCCCCGGCUAACUAUGUGCCAGCAGCCGCGGUAAUACAUAGGGGGCAAGCGUUAUCCGGAAUUAUUGGGCGUAAAGGGUGCGUAGGCGGUUAAAUAAGUUUAUGGUCUAAGUGCAAUGCUCAACAUUGUGAUGCUAUAAAAACUGUUUAGCUAGAGUAAGAUAGAGGCAAGCGGAAUUCCAUGUGUAGUGGUAAAAUGCGUAAAUAUAUGGAGGAACACCAGUAGCGAAGGCGGCUUGCUGGGUCUUUACUGACGCUGAGGCACGAAAGCGUGGGGAGCAAACAGGAUUAGAUACCCUGGUAGUCCACGCCGUAAACGAUGAGUACUAAACGUUGGGUAAAACCAGUGUUGAAGUUAACACAUUAAGUACUCCGCCUGAGUAGUACGUACGCAAGUAUGAAACUUAAAGGAAUUGACGGGACUCCGCACAAGCGGUGGAUCAUGUUGUUUAAUUCGAAGGUACCCGAAAAACCUCACCAGGUCUUGACAUGCUUCUGCAAAGCUGUAGAAACACAGUGGAGGUUAUCAGUUGCACAGGUGGUGCAUGGUUGUCGUCAGCUCGUGUCGUGAGAUGUUGGGUUAAGUCCCGCAACGAGCGCAACCCUUAUUGUUAGUUACCAGCACGUAAUGGUGGGGACUUUAGCAAGACUGCCAGUGAUAAAUUGGAGGAAGGUGGGGACGACGUCAAAUCAUCAUGCCCCUUAUGACCUGGGCUACAAACGUGAUACAAUGGCUGUUACAAAGGGUAGCUGAAGCGCAAGUUUUUGGCGAAUCUCAAAAAAACAGUCUCAGUUCGGAUUGAAGUCUGCAACUCGACUUCAUGAAGUUGGAAUCGCUAGUAAUCGCGAAUCAGCAUGUCGCGGUGAAUACGUUCACGGGGUUUGUACACACCGCCCGUCA